CUUGUUUCUUGGCCUUUUGGCUAAGUUCAUGUGUAGUAUCUGUUCUUAUCAGUUUAAUAUCUGACUUCAAACAUAGAUAUUCAAAAAGUCAUGGUGGAAGGAUUUUACCAUACUCAUCAUACCUGGAGUGUCCUGAUUUCCACAAAACUUCUCACAGCUUGUCCUGCAAUGUCAUCAUGUUACAUUCA
ensembl:snRNA U2 U2 spliceosomal RNA